UACGUAUGGGGCGAGCGUUGUUCGGAUUUAUUGGGCGUAAAGGGCGCGUAGGCGGUUCGGAAAGCCUGGUGUGAAAGGCUAUGGCUUAACCAUAGUUUUGCGCUGGGAACUGCCGGACUGGAGUUUAGGAGGGGAAGCUGGAAUUCCUGGUGUAGGGGUGAAAUCUGUAGAUAUCAGGAAGAACACCGGAGGCGAAGGCGAGCUUCUAUCCAUAGACUGACGCUGAGGCGCGAAAGCGUGGGGAGCAAACAGG
rnacentral:rRNA from 1 species